rnacentral:rRNA from 1 species
GCUUAACACAUGCAAGUCGAGGGGCAGCAUGGUCUUAUCUUGCUAAGGCCGAUGGCGACCGGCGCACGGGUGAGUAACACGUAUCCAACCUGCCGUCUACUCUUGGACAGCCUUCUAAAAGGAAGAUUAAUACGAGAUGGCAUCAUGAGUCCGCAUGUUCACAUGAUUAAAGGUAUUCCGGUAGACGACGGGGAUGCGUUCCAUUAGAUAGUAGGCGGGGUAACGGCCCACCUAGUCUUCGAUGGAUAGGGGUUCUGAGAGGAAGGUCCCCCACAUUGGAACUGAGACACGGUCCAAACUCCUACGGGAGGCAGCAGUGAGGAAUAUUGGUCAAUGGGCGAGAGCCUGAACCAGCCAAGUAGCGUGAAGGAUGACUGCCCUAUGGGUUGUAAACUUCUUUUAUAAAGGAAUAAAGUCGGGUAUGGAUACCCGUUUGCAUGUACUUUAUGAAUAAGGAUCGGCUAACUCCGUGCCAGCAGCCGCGGUAAUACGGAGGAUCCGAGCGUUAUCCGGAUUUAUUGGGUUUAAAGGGAGCGUAGAUGGAUGUUUAAGUCAGUUGUGAAAGUUUGCGGCUCAACCGUAAAAUUGCAGUUGAUACUGGAUAUCUUGAGUGCAGUUGAGGCAGGCGGAAUUCGUGGUGUAGCGGUGAAAUGCUUAGAUAUCACGAAGAACUCCGAUUGCGAAGGCAGCCUGCUAAGCUGCAACUGACAUUGAGGCUCGAAAGUGUGGGUAUCAAACAGGAUUAGAUACCCUGGUAGUCCACACGGUAAACGAUGAAUACUCGCUGUUUGCGAUAUACGGCAAGCGGCCAAGCGAAAGCGUUAAGUAUUCCACCUGGGGAGUACGCCGGCAACGGUGAAACUCAAAGGAAUUGACGGGGGCCCGCACAAGCGGAGGAACAUGUGGUUUAAUUCGAUGAUACGCGAGGAACCUUACCCGGGCUUAAAUUGCAGAUGAAUUACGGUGAAAGCCGUAAGCCGCAAGGCAUCUGUGAAGGUGCUGCAUGGUUGUCGUCAGCUCGUGCCGUGAGGUGUCGGCUUAAGUGCCAUAACGAGCGCAACCCUUGUUGUCAGUUACUAACAGGUUCCGCUGAGGACUCUGACAAGACUGCCAUCGUAAGAUGUGAGGAAGGUGGGGAUGACGUCAAAUCAGCACGGCCCUUACGUCCGGGGCUACACACGUGUUACAAUGGGGGGUACAGAGGGCCGCUACCACGCGAGUGGAUGCCAAUCCCAAAAACCUCUCUCAGUUCGGACUGGAGUCCGCAACCCGACUCCACGAAGCUGGAUUCGCUAGUAAUCGCGCAUCAGCCACGGCGCGGUGAAUACGUUCCCGGGCCUUGUACACACCGCCCGUCAAGCCAUGGGAGCCGGGGGUACCUGAAGUGCGUAACCGCGAGGAGCGCCCUAGGGUAAAACUGGUGACUGGGG